rnacentral:lncRNA from 1 species
GGAGGUCGCGGGGCGUGCCGGCCGUUCGAACGGCGGCGCUUCGGAGAGCGUGCUCGUGCUGGCGGCACGCGGCGGGACGAGGCGCUGCUGAGCUCGGGAGCGCCCGUGGCUUUGCUGAGAAGGAUCUCCGCGUUAAAGCUUCUCGGCGUUUGUGCAGACUGGCCUCAGUUGCGCGCCACGCGUGCCCGAGCGACGGCGUGACCGAUUGUAAAAACGGGCUGAAGCAAACUUCAAAACCUUUUAAUGCCUUUUUCCCGAAAUAAGCGUUGCUUGCAACGUCUGCAAAGCUGGAGCGAACCGCGCGCCUCUCGCGCCGCGGUAAGCGCCGCCAUUACAGCCCUGCUGCCGGAGGAACGCGGGCACAGAAAUAGGACGAGGCAGGAGGGUACGGUACUGCCCGAUAACAAACUGUUAAAGCCUAAGAAAUGUCAGUUACCUCGCUUCGCUAUAAAAGUAACGCUCGAGCUGUGCUGCGGGGUAAACCACGGCUGCUGGGAGACCUACAGCAAACAGAAGUUGUGUGGCGGUGGAGCUGUGACGUGAAAGCAUGGCAGCGGUCUGCCUUCCAGUACCGAAGUUUCAAAAUAUAGCAAAAAAAACCCCAAAAAACCAACCACGAUCAAACUAUUGAAUUCAAAAUCUCUGAGGCUGGAGGACAAACGUUGAGGUGAAGCCAGAUGUUUACAUAAGCCAUGAGCCAAUCUGUUUUAAACGGAGAGGUCAAGAACUGUGAAGAUGUAGGUGUGUUUAAGGCCAUUGGAAAAGUGGGCCCUGCGAGUUAACUCGAAGGUAGUCUGCAUAAAGUUCACUCAAGAUGAGUUUUGCAUGGACAAGAGGAAGGAGGAGCUUUAUCUUUCAAGAUGUGACUCCGACAGUCUUAUUAAUGGAAUUCAGUAUCAAGCAGCUUCCUCGUGUUCCUUUGUACCUACAGCAGACUUGAGGUCCCCUGUAACCAUUCAUCAAUCCACGAGUCCCACGUGAUCCACCACGAGACACUCCCCGACUGUUGUAAUAAGGCUGACUGUUGCGUGGAAAUCCAGUAUUCUGCUGGGGAGGUUGCUGGUGGUUUCCUGCCACUUGAUGGGUCUGGUCCGGAGAACCAUGGUAAGUACCAACCACUAUAUUUGAAGUGAGGAAAAAGUACAGUACAGAAUCCUGAGUUCCUGCAUUGACAUUCCCGCAUACGCUCAUCUUCUAACACAACAUACAAAGCUUUGAAGUACCACAGAACACAUCAGUAAAUGCUUACCCAUUUAAAGAAAAUCAAUCUGCACAAUUGUGUCGAAUUUAAUACUGUGAGAUAACUGACAGUGAAGGUAAAUCAGCUCUGUACCACUUUUAGAUCGAGUCAAUGUCAAGAACCCUCUGGCCUAAGCUCAGCAACAAAUAUUCCUAAUGCAGGUAGCAUUUUUCUGCGUGCCAUUUCGAUUCCUUUAAAAAUCACCAACACACACAUACUGUAAAAAAAUAAUGUGAGCUAAGCCAUUUCUGGAGAUUCCUUUCCUCUGAACGGGCAGUCACUAAAAAAUAUUUGCAGUCACUCUGCAUUGUCUCUGCUAGGCACAGCUGUGCUGACUAAAGGUGAGAUUGUGGGAAUGUUUUAACAGAGCUGCCAUUUUGACUGUACAGGCUGUGGGUUCUUUCCUCCUACAGGACAUGUAAAUCAAGAGGCAAAACUGGAUAGAUAGCUUGAGACCAUUUGCUUCUUGAAAAAAGGUAUGCCAUGUUAUCUUCACAUCACAGGGAUCAUCAGAAAUGGACUGUGAACACAAUCCAAGGAUUAUAGGCUCAUUAAGUGUAAUAAUAGAUGGAAUUCUGUAUCUAAGAGUGAAAGAGCUAUAAACUUGAGUUGAUGCCAAAUGUUAAAGCAAGAUCUCAACAUGUAAGUAAUAAGAUUCUCCCUCACAUUUCAUAUGCAGGAAAGCAAGCCUUCAUUAUUCAACAGAAAGCACUACUUCAGUUCAACCUCACUUAGCCACACAGUGCUAUGAAGUUCUGUAUAGCUAGCUCGCUGUCUCCCCAACCUCCAUACAUUCCACAAGAACAGAAAGAAGUGGUCAUCCUUUAGGGUUUUUACAAUGGGCAGGUUUUGUUCUAAAGCCACUGUUAUUUUCUUAGUAUCAUCAGUUACAUUUACUUUACUGCUAUAUAAAGUUAAGCACUUAAUACUGCAUGGCUCACCUUCAACACCACCGUUCCCCAGGUUGUUUUUCUAGUUGUUUUUUUUGUUGUUCUUUGAGCUAUACAACGUACAAGGGAAACAGUGUAAAUCUGGUUCUCCUUCUCAUUCAUACAACCCUUAUCCUAACUUCCAGGGAAUGUAAGAUUCAAGACCAUAAUCAGUCGCAAAGAAGGAUCACAUUUUUUCCUUACUCUACACCUCCAGUAGCUUUUAGCACUUCACCACUGUCAUCCCUGUCCUGUGUCUUUCACAUGAAAUCCCCCUCUGCAUCUACGUAUUUUAUCUGAGUGUCAAGUAAGAGGUGGGCUGCAAGAACAGCUUUGCACAAAGACUCUAUUAUCACAGCUUAUUUUUCUUAACUUACUAACUUGGAAAGUGUUUUGAUUGCAGUAUUCAAACUAUGCCCAAUGUUUUUAGUAGAAGAUUCUAGAUUUUUCUGGACCUUCAGCAAUCUGUGAGAGGCAGUCCAUAUUUGUUCUCAAUUGUACCUUACUAUUACCUUCUUAGAAUUUAUCUGAAAUAGUACAAUCAACUUUUUUUUUCUUUUUUUAUGGCAUAUUUAAGAAUCAUUCAAUUUUAACAUCAGCAGAGCAAGUACUCUACUGCUUUCAACCUCAAAAAUAGUCCUUAAUCUUAUUUGUGAUUUUCAAACCCAUAUAUAUAUAACUAAAAUCAGGUAGCAAAAUUUCUUUGACAAUUGGAGAGUUACACACUAAAUUCCAUGCCCUGCUGGAUAGUCCAACCAAGACAGAAACACUAGAGUGCAAAACAAAGCAACAAAACACAGACAUUGUCCAGAGGUAAGCAUCUUUGCAAAACAAGGAGCAUUCAAGAAUAUGUGACAUGCUCUGCUACAUAUCUUAAGACUUCACAGCCUUGAUUACCUGCUCUACCAAAGCUAUCACCAUUUUAAUUUUCUCUAAAAUUAAU